UCUCCCACUGGUGAAUGGUGUUGAAUUUGUUCCCAUCUGCUUCUUGAAGAAAGGGUUAAUGUAUCUCAUGAGGGGGCUGGUUUUGAAAAUGGUCUUACUGAUUCCCUUGCUCAAUUACAGUGAGGAACUGAAACAGCUGCCUCUACGUUUCUGAUAACAGCAACCGUUGUGAUGAGAGUAGGGAAGAAACACACUCCUCUCCAUGAAUACAGCAAGUCAUCUAACGAAAGCUGUUUUAAAUUCCAUUAAUGUGCAAGCCCGGCAUUCCCUUUUUAACAUGCUUGUCACUCACAUCCACUCACAUGCCUCGAUUCUUGAACAUAUCCUUGUUAGAGAGAACAGAUGGUUUCAGUUUCAGUAGAUGAACCUCUCAAGUUUGUCAGAAUUGCUGUUCAGAUUCAAGGAUAAUUUGCUUAAAUUGGAGCCUAAGCCAUCGUGCCCUUGUGAUGGCAUUCCCAUCUCCCCUUCUCCCACCUUUUUUCACUCUGGCUGACAGAACAAAAAGAACAGCUUACAACUGCAGAUGUAGCCAAUCACUGAACAUUAGUUGGCCACUUACAGUGGGUAGUUAAUUAAUUCUAUGCCUUCUAAUUAUAGGCUGCUAAACAGAAGGGAAGCCCGGAACUGGAAAUUAAGCUUGUCUGUAUGCUAGCUCCCGGGUUUCAAAUUUUGCAAGUGCGCCAUGCAUUCAAAAUCCACCUUUUCCUCAGAACUGCUUUCCAGGAAGGUCUGGUGUAGCCCCGUUUCUGUUUCUGACAGCUGAAUUAAACAUCAUGAUAACACAAAGAAGAAUUGAAGGGUGGUUGGAGAAAUCCUGGCUUUCAAGCCCCAAGUUCCUAAUUAAAACCAGACAGUUUGGAAAAUGCCAAGAUGAGAAAACAUGAGAAAUUGUGCAAAUCAUUCAUCAGUUAUUCAUCUGCAGACCUAAAAGAAAAAGCAAAGAGAGAAAUGCUAAAAGAUCUCCCAUGGUGCAUGCCCACCUGACACGCCAUGAAAAAGUGGAUGAAAUGCAGAUGGAGUAAAUGUCGAAACCCACGUCAAAAGAAAAAACAAGACAAUAAUGAUGCAUCAUAUAACACUGAAGACAAUUCCUAACUGGCUUUCAAAAUGAACAGGCUGAAAAUUGUUUUCUUAUGGCAUCCAACACAAUACGUAAGAAACUGAAUUAACAUUAUGGGAUGGCAAGCAUAGGAUUCCAUAGGAAACACCUCAAAACAGGUGUCCAAAACCUGUGGGAUGAAGUCUAUAAACAAAACACUCCUGACAAAUGGUAGUCCAGCCUCUAUUUAAAAAUCUUAAAGGAAGGAGGUUCCACUACACCCAAGGCUGCAUAUUCCAUUGAAUAGUUUUUACCACCAAGAAAUUCCUUGCAUUUGUUCAAGGCAGAUUUGUAAAAGCAACAUCCAUGCAACGUCACCAACUCCAAUGGAAUAUUAUAGGCUAAAUGAGUGCAUCCCAUUUCUGGACUUUUUCUGCAGUCAGCUUCAAGAAAGGUUUACAAGGCACAGGGAAGUAGUUCAGGAACUGGAAGUAUACUUCCCAAUUAAUUGUUAACCACUUAAGAUCCAACUUGAACAAGUGCACAGAACUUUACAACAAAUGCCUUCAAGAUGACACACUGAUGGAAGAGUUUGAUCUGUGGUAUAGAAAAUGGAAAAAGAUUACACUUGCAGAAAAAAUAUCAAAUGAACUGGAAGCGUAUUUUGUCUGUGAUUGAAAGUUUUUUCUUAAUGUGAAGAAACUUCUUCAGAUUUCUGCAACAUUGCUAGUGUCAACAGCUACAAAUGAAAGGUCAUUUUCAACUCUUAAACAUUUGAAAACAUACAUAAGAAGCACAAUGGGACAAGAAAGACUGAUUGGACUUGCAUGCUUGAGUGUCCACUGAAGUUUAUCAAUGGAGCCUGAUUUCUGUAAAAGUGUCUUGACAGUUUUCAAGUGUUUCCAACAGGUGUUGUAGUAUUCUUUUGUAACCACUAAAUUACCAAUUCACAGUCAUUUUCAGGUCUUUUUAGACUUGAAACUUUAUAGCUAAAAUAGAAAUUUGAUUUAAUUAAGUACAAAUAAAAAUAUAGAACAAG